GGGUUGUGAGGUUAAGCGACUAAGCGUACACGGUGGAUGCCCUGGCAGUCAGAGGCGAUGAAGGACGUGCUAAUCUGCGAUAAGCGUCGGUAAGGUGAUAUGAACCGUUAUAACCGGCGAUUUCCGAAUGGGGAAACCCAGUGUGAUUCGUCACACUAUCAUUAACUGAAUCCAUAGGUUAAUGAGGCGAACCGGGGGAACUGAAACAUCUAAGUACCCCGAGGAAAAGAAAUCAACCGAGAUUCCCCCAGUAGCGGCGAGCGAACGGGGAGCAGCCCAGAGCCUGAAUCAGUGUGUGUGUUAGUGGAAGCGUCUGGAAAGGCGCGCGAUACAGGGUGACAGCCCCGUACACAAAAAU
rnacentral:rRNA from 2 species